AAACGGGAAGGCUGCAAUGAAGCCCAUAAUACAUUUCCAAACCUGGAGAAUUGGAAUCCUUUUCUUUGCUCUUGGAAACUGUCUUAAUUUCAUUUCAUUUGGAUUUGCUGCUCAGUGGUAACAAUUAACAAGUUUGAACCCCAACUUGUUGCAAUCACAUACAAGCAACGACCUCGCAAAUUAACAAUCCAUGGCAAUGAUGGGGAGGACUAUGCUUUUUUGUUAAAGGGGCAAAACUUUUUGAAAGAGUACGUGUAAUUUUUAUUUUAGAUAUAAUAUUAUCUAGUGUUGAUAAUUUGUUAUUGUGUUGAAGGUAUUGUAUUGAUAUAAAGUAUUGUAUUGAUAGUAUUUGAUUAAAAGUGUG